rnacentral:rRNA from 1 species
UAAGGUCCGUGCCCGAGAGGAGAAGAAUCCGGACCACCUGCUAAGGUCCCGAAAUAAUAGCUAAGUUAAACUAACGAAGUCAGAUUGCUAAGACAGCUAGGAUGUUGGCUUGGAAGCAGCCAUUCAUUCAAAGAGUGCGUAACAGCUCACUAGUCGAGGAGCUGGGCGUGGAUAAUAAUCGGGUAUGAAACCAGUUACCGAAGCCGUGGGAUGCUUAAGCAUCGGUAGGGGAGCAUUGCAUGCGGCUUAGAAGGCGGGGCGCGAGCCCCUCUGGAGCGCAUGGAAACGCAAAUGUAGGUAUAAGUAACGACAAGGGGGGUGGGAUGCCCCCCCGCCGAAAGACCAAGGUUUCCUGAACAACGCUAAUCGGUUCAGGGUCAGUCGGGUCCUAAGCAUAAGCCGUAUGGCGAGGGCGAUGGACGAAACGGUUAAUAUUCCGUUACUGUCUUGGUGUGUGACGCGGCGACGGAGUAGUGACACGGCCGCCUCCUGACGGAAAAGGGGGUUGAAGCGCAAAGGUGUCGAGGAAGGCAGGCAAAUCCACCUUCCGAGCCGAAGCGCGAAAGUACGCCGGGCCCUUUGGGGCAAGGCGAUAGUGCCGGUAAUCAGACUUCCAAGAAAACCCGCUAAACUUCAGCACCAAGUCACCCGUACUCCAAACGGACACACGUGGUCGGGUAGAAUAUACUAAGGCGCUUGGGAGAUUCACGGUUAAGGAACUAGGCAAAUUGACCCCGUACCUUCGGAAUAAGGGGUCCUCGCUUUUGCGAGGCGCAGAGAAUAGGUCCAGGCAACUGUUUAACAAAAACACAGGGCUGUGCAAAUUUGAAAGAAGAAGUAUACAGCCUGACACCUGCCCGGUGCCGGAAGGUUAAGAGGAGAGCUCAUCAGCGAUGAGAAGGCUUGAAUUGAAGCCCCGGUAAACGGCGGCCGUAACUAUAACGGUCCUAAGGUAGCGAAAUUCCUUGUCGGGUAAGUUCCGACCUGCACGAAUGGUGUAAUGAUCUGGACGCUGUCUCAACCGUGAGCUCAGUGAAAUUGUAGUAUCGGUGAAGAUGCCGAUUACCCGCGAUGGGACGAAAAGACCCCGUGAACCUUUACUAUAGCUUAACGUUGUACCCGGGCUGUCGAUGUGUAGGAUAGGCCGGAGGCGUCGAGUCGGGCACGCCAGUGUCCGUGGAGCCGUUGUUGAAAUACGGCCCUUUGGCCGUCUGGGUACUAACUUGGUGAAUCCAAGGACCGCGUUUGGCGGGUAGUUUGACUGGGGUGGUCGCCUCCAAAAGCGUAACGGAGGCUCCUCAAGGUGCCCUCAGGCCGAUUGGUAACCGGCCGCAGAGUGUAAUGGCAAAAGGGCGCUUGACUGGGAGGCCGACAGGCCGCACAGGCAGGAAACUGGAGCAUAGUGAUCCGGCGGUUCCGCAUGGAAGGUCCGUCGCUCAAAGGAUAAAAGGUACUCCGGGGAUAACAGGCUGAUCCCUCCCAAG